GAUGAACGCUGGCGGCGUGCCUAAUACAUGCAAGUCGAGCGAACGGACGAGAAGCUUGCUUCUCUGAUGUUAGCGGCGGACGGGUGAGUAACACGUGGAUAACCUACCUAUAAGACUGGGAUAACUUCGGGAAACCGGAGCUAAUACCGGAUAAUAUUUUGAACCGCAUGGUUCAAAAGUGAAAGACGGUCUUGCUGUCACUUAUAGAUGGAUCCGCGCUGCAUUAGCUAGUUGGUAAGGUAACGGCUUACCAAGGCAACGAUGCAUAGCCGACCUGAGAGGGUGAUCGGCCACACUGGAACUGAGACACGGUCCAGACUCCUACGGGAGGCAGCAGUAGGGAAUCUUCCGCAAUGGGCGAAAGCCUGACGGAGCAACGCCGCGUGAGUGAUGAAGGUCUUCGGAUCGUAAAACUCUGUUAUUAGGGAAGAACAUAUGUGUAAGUAACUGUGCACAUCUUGACGGUACCUAAUCAGAAAGCCACGGCUAACUACGUGCCAGCAGCCGCGGUAAUACGUAGGUGGCAAGCGUUAUCCGGAAUUAUUGGGCGUAAAGCGCGCGUAGGCGGUUUUUUAAGUCUGAUGUGAAAGCCCACGGCUCAACCGUGGAGGGUCAUUGGAAACUGGAAAACUUGAGUGCAGAAGAGGAAAGUGGAAUUCCAUGUGUAGCGGUGAAAUGCGCAGAGAUAUGGAGGAACACCAGUGGCGAAGGCGACUUUCUGGUCUGUAACUGACGCUGAUGUGCGAAAGCGUGGGGAUCAAACAGGAUUAGAUACCCUGGUAGUCCACGCCGUAAACGAUGAGUGCUAAGUGUUAGGGGGUUUCCGCCCCUUAGUGCUGCAGCUAACGCAUUAAGCACUCCGCCUGGGGAGUACGACCGCAAGGUUGAAACUCAAAGGAAUUGACGGGGACCCGCACAAGCGGUGGAGCAUGUGGUUUGAUUCGAAGCAACGCGAAGAACCUUACCAAAUCUUGACAUCCUUUGACAACUCUAGAGAUAGAGCCUUCCCCUUCGGGGGACAAAGUGACAGGUGGUGCAUGGUUGUCGUCAGCCCGUGUCGUGAGAUGUUGGGUUAAGUCCCGCAACGAGCGCAACCCUUAAGCUUAGUUGCCAUCAUUAAGUUGGGCACUCUAAGUUGACUGCCGGUGACAAACCGGAGGAAGGUGGGGAUGACGUCAAAUCAUCAUGCCCCCUAUGAUUUGGGCUACACACGUGCUACAAUGGACAAUACAAAGGGCAGCGAAACCGCGAGGUCAAGCAAAUCCCAUAAAGUUGUUCUCAGUUCGGAUUGUAGUCUGCAACUCGACUACAUGAAGCUGGAAUCGCUAGUAAUCGUAGAUCAGCAUGCUACGGUGAAUACGUUCCCGGGUCU
rnacentral:rRNA from 1 species